GAUAUUUUGUUUAACGUGAUCGAUUUUGGUUUUAGCCAUAAUAAACUAAGUUUAACUUUUUGUAUGCCCUUAUCAUGAAGGAACAAUUUGUACGUGUUUAAACUUACUUUUUAUUCAAUUUGUCUUACAAUAGUUUCGACAAAUCACUAUGUUUUUGGAUCAAUCUACGGAUUAAAAAGAUGAUGGCCAAGGAAAUGGUGGACAACACAUCAAUCAAAUGGCAGACAGAAUUCGAGUAUCAAAAGUGAUUCCGCUACCUGCAGUGCCAGAGGGCGGUAUGGGUGGAGAUGAUAUCCAAUAUUUAGCUGUAUCUGGGGCUAACAGUCAGAACGGCGAAAGAUCGGAAAAUCCAGCAGACAGACGUGAUUGAUACUCGUUCCUCAUAGGAUGUCGAUGAAACGUUCGAAGUGCUCAUUAUCUUCAUAGAACAUUUUUCUUAUUUCAUUUUGAUCAGCAUGUAACAAACUGUUCAGACUUGUGUUCAAUCGUUUGAGAUGGACGAAGGGAGGUAACUGAAACUGUGAAAAAGAACCGAAUUCACAUAGUUCAUAUACAUUUAAUCUUAAUUGAAGCGAACAUUUAUAGAAACGGAUGCGAAUAAUAACGAACAAAGAUAUUCAAUUGAAAUAAAUCUUUUUGUAUUUGAUUGACUCAAAUAUCUGUUAAAAGGUUAAUUUAAAGGGACUAUAAACCAAAUUGUCACCUUUUUUCUGUAACGAAUCUCAUGACAAUUAUUUAAUAAAAUGUUUUACUCUUUGA